UUUUCUUUCUCUUUUUCUCGUGCAUCAUGUAUACUCUGGGGGUUAAUUUCACUCUUUUGACUCUUUUUCUACUCAAAUUUUUCGAGCAUUUUAUAGGUGUUAGAGUCUUAAGUCUCGGCAAAUGCAUUUUUCUCUUUUGUUUUUCUUUUCUCUUUUUUUUUCUUUUUUUUUCUUUUAAAGAACAUACAUACUAUUUUUCUUUUUGUAUGAUCUCUUAUUAUGCACUUGCCUUCUCUUUCAAG
rnacentral:lncRNA from 1 species